rnacentral:tRNA from 1 species
GGCGAAAUCAGCUAAAAAAGCUUUCGGGUCCAUACCCCGAACAUGGUGGAUAGAUACCAUCCUUCGUCA